rnacentral:lncRNA from 1 species
CUGGAUCUUUUCUUCAAAUCUUUGAAACCUUUUCAGAGGUUGAAGAUAGACUUUUAUAGGAGAUGAAGAGGUGAAAGAAAGAUGGAGAAGAAAAUAAUUUCUCACUUAUUUUUUCUCUCUUUCCAAACCCUGAGGAAUAAAACCCUAGAAAACUAGAUUUUGCUCACACCCAAAGAAAAAAGGACCCUCCUUUAUUUUUUCAUGCCAAGAAUUCAUGCCCCA